CUCAUCGUCUCUUUCAUCAGACCCCUUCCUUCAUUAAACCUAUUGAGCGCUACCCUAAAACCCACCAUCGCCGGUGGCGGUGCCACAUUCAAUCCCUUCCAAAAAUAACACCCCAAUCUCCUAUCGUCCUCCUUGUCCUAUAUCUGAUAUUGGUUUUCUUCGAAUCAAACCAAAGCCUCUUGAAUCUCGAUUUAAAGUCAAGCCCGAGUCUCAAAUUCGUCCAAACGAGCCAAAAUUUCUACCAGAUGGCUCACCGACCUUCCUCACCAUUAAUCCACAGUCAGAACCCGUCGAAUAGUGCUGAGUCUCAAUAAAAUUUGAAUCUAAGGUUUACCGUUUCGGGCUGGUUUGGUUAUUUUUCUUUUUUUUUUUUCAAUACGAGUUAUUUCAGGUUGAUAUUAUGGGUUCAUUUCCUUUGAGAUGGACUUAUAAUAUCAACUUGAAGUUAAUUUUAAAUUUUGUUUGAAGAAUUAAUUCUCAGUAAGUUUCUCUCUUUGUUUUUCUUAGUUUGUUUAGUUUAAUUUGUAGUUUCGUUCAUGCAAUCGAUGCUUAGUCUAGUGUCAAGCCAUCAUUAUAUUUGUUUAAAUGUCAGAGUAAUUUUUAGUUAAUUUCCUUGUUCUUGUUAGCAAGCUUGACUUCUGCCAUAUCCGGUCUUAAUUGGUCGUUUGUUGUUUUAAUUCCUAGGAGUUAGUUUAAUUUUAAUUAGUUCAAUUGAUUAGUUUAAGUCGAAUAUUUUGUGAAAGUUGUUUCUUCUUGUUAGAUUUGUUCUUCAUACUAACGCAUUUUGAUAGUUAGUCGACUCGUUUGCUUGUUGCAAUCUCUUUUUAGCACCUCGAUUAGGUAAUUCAAAUGUCAAUGGUUUAGUGUGACUAGUUUUCAGUUUCGAUUAGUAGUAGUUGGUUGCAAUAUUAGAGUUAUAGGAUUGAUUUGGUUUUAGCUGAAUGGUUGUGGAUGAGGUUGGUAAUUUUAGGGGGUUGGAAGAGUAGUUUAGGUAUUUGGAGGUUAGGGAAUCUUUAAUAACAAACUAAGAAGCUUCUAGAGUGGGGUGGGAGUUUCAAACUUUUAGGUAGUACAACUUGGGGAACAAGUCAGAAAUCUAGGGAUAUCUAGGCUAAAAGGAAAAUUACAAAGGGGGUAAAGGGAAAACUAAAAUCUACUAAGGGAUGCCGUCAUUUCUGCCUAUAAAAGGGCAUCAAAUGCCUUGUAAAAGGGGAACUUUUCAGCCAUAAAAAUUCUUCCCCAGAAAAUAGUGUUCUCCAGUAUUUUUAGAUCUGAAAACUGCAAUUCAAAGUCCAAAAAAAUAGAAAACCUUCAAAAAUCCUAAAAGUUACUGUUUCGCUAGACAAUUCAGGAUAAUUUUGAUUUUUAGUUGUUAAUUUCCAUUUUCUAGUUCAAUACUUGGAUUCUGAAGUGUUAGAUGUUCACUGGUUCGAUUCAAGUAAUUGUGGGUCUAAUUUAGUUAAUCUGGGUGGAGUUUUUGGCCUGUUGAAAACUGCAAGGGUAUUCAUGGAUUUGUUGGGUUCAUGUGCAAGUUUGUUUGGUUAUUCUGCUGAUAUUCGUCUUAUACUAUGCUUGGGAUUGGUGUUAUUAUUUUGGAUUUCAAAUUGUCUCCCUGUUGCUGUGAUCUGCUGUGUUAUUGCUGCUGACUUCUUCUUCUAAGUCAUUGUGUUUCUAUUACAAGGUACACGUCUAGAAUCCCACUGUUGUGUAGACCGUCAACCGGAAAAAUGAAUGAAUUGAAAGUGUCUUGUGAUGAAAUUUCCAAUUGAUUUACCGAUUUCGGUACAUUUUGAUUGUAAUAAGUAGACCAGUUUUCAUUCGAUUUUGCCUAAAGUGUAUUUAGUUAGUGUUAUUGUUUGCUGAAAUUGCUCUGUGGUUAGUUAAUUACUGUAUAUUAGUCUGGAUAUUGAAAGGUAUGCUUGUAUACGACACUGGUUUGUUAAAAUAGGUCGUGGACUGUGUAAGGGUUUUUUAAAAAUUUUAAAUCGGAAAAUUGAAUAUGCAAUUUUGAGUUUUAGUCAAUCAUUAGCUUUAGUCAGUUAUUAUGUUAUUUCUGUGUAAUCACCUUUCUAAAAUCAGAAAAUAAUUGAACUAGGUUUGAAUUUGCAGUAGCGUAUUUGAAAUGUGUCAUUAAGUAUUUAAAAGAGGUAGCUAGAUCUAUAAUUGUGUUAGGUAAUGGGAUUGUGAAUGGUUCAAUUACAAUUUGGAGAUCAAUGAACUCGAUACUUCAUUCCUUUUGAUGGGAUUCGACGUUGUCUUGAACCACACAGCGGCGUGGGUUAAUUACACAGGCCUGAGAUUCGAACCC
rnacentral:lncRNA from 1 species